UCCCUGGUGGUCCAGUGGUUAGGACUCAGCGCUUUCACUGCCAAAGUCUCAGCUUCAAUUCUUGAUCAGGGAA
rnacentral:tRNA from 1 species